ensembl:lncRNA
UUUCAGCCUUCGCGUACAGCUUCACAUUUGCAGCAGCUGUUCAUAAGCACUUGCCACCCACACCCUGAAUUUUUAUCCUUAAAACUUGUGAUACCACUAGCACAUGCAGUAGUUCCACACGCUAGCUGCCUAUUAGCUCAGUGGCAGCGCUCGCUCAUGUUUCCCCUGCUCUGAAUAUAAACCCCUGCCCAAUUCUGAGAAGUACCACCUGCCUGCACAAGAGUGUGUUUAUGGGGUAUUCAUGUUUGGAUCACUGUAGCUGGACAAUCUUUCUUGGCUUUUGAGGUAAGAGCAAAAAAUGUAUAUUUAUUUAUUUAACUCUGCCUUAAUUUAUGCUUAUGUGACAUUCACUAAUGCCUCCUCUAAGCAUGUCUCCUAAUUUACAUCUAAUAAGCUUCUAGUUUGAGGAAACGCCAGAGUAAAUUUCCAUGCUGGCAGGUGAAGGCAGAACUGAUGUGCAGGAGAAUAUUCAUUCCCUACACACAUACAGAGAGAUGAACAAGAAAGCACUGCCAGGGCACUGACCCCAGCAGUGGCACCUUCACACUAGGAGCUCCCAAACCUCCUAUCCAAGUGUCUGGGUUGGUAGCUACUGACCAAGCUAGGCCAGAGGGUGGACUGCUGUGCCAUGAUUACUUGUCUGUCCUCCUCUUCUAGAACCUGAACUGAAGCACAGUCAGUUGUCAGUGAAUAUCCAUUGAAGCAACUCCCUAAGCCACCCCAUGUACCUUAGGUGACCCAGGCAGGUCCAUGCUGGCACCAGCAUGCCCAUCGGGACAGGGGAGCUGCAGUUAGGGUGACUGGUGUCACCUGAGCCAUCCCACAUCACCCAGCUCCUCACCAAUUCCGCUCCUCCGUUGACCAUCCCAAAGGGUAUGUAAAGCCUUUACAGACUUGCUCUCUUUUUCUUGAGCUGUUUUGCUCUAGGGGCUCCUGCUUGUGCCUCCUGAUUAGUGACCAGCUGUGACUCCACCACUUCCUUGCCAAGAAAUCUGCACUUGAAGCCCUCUGAGAAGAUAUGUCCUCAGCUCUCCCAGCACUGAGACAUGCAAUUGAAAGGAUACAACACCAACCCCAAAUCAGGAUUCUACAGGCUAAGGAUCUGUGCCCCUGACCUUUUUGGAGGCCCAACCUGCUUGUCAGUGCUCUGGCUCAAGAAGCUGCAGCCUGCCAUACCCACCUGCUGGCCUCUUGGCAAGGAGGAAAGUGUGACGUGUGCCUUGCUGAGCAAAGCAAAAUGACAUUGCUGCCUAUCCCAGCCAGUUGUCAGCAUGUCCAGUGCUAAUUGUGUCAUUGCUGCACUACUGCCGUUUCUGCAAAGAUAAGGAAGAAACACUUUUCUUGCAGUAGAGGCAAUGUAAGCAGUGUCUGAGGUUGAUAAGCGACAUGGCAUGGCCUAGGUGCUUAAUACAAGACAGAGGCUGACCAUGUGUGGGCCAGAAGCAAGCGCAGCCUGGCAUGCUCUCCUGUUGUGGGACAAAAGACUGACUUGGGUCUGUUCUCCUUUGCCUUUCUGAAAGAGGCCAUGGCAAGUUCCUUUGCUGUGCUGUUGGGUUAAUAAGAAGACAACCAGUUUUUUUUCAAGCAAUUAGCCAAGAAUUUACAAAAGCUCUGUUGAGAAUCACCAUGCUGUGCAGGUUUCCUAUAGCUUCUACUUUGUCCCAGAGCACCAUUCCAGUAGGGGGGGGGGAAGGGGGGGAGGGAAAUUCAAUUAAUUAUACUGUUGUCAUGUUCAAUUUUUAUUAUCUUCCUAUGUGUCAAAGUUGUUGAUAGUAAACAAGAAAUGGAAUCAGCUUCAUUUUGACCUAAGACUUACAGGAGCAUCUUUCCUUACUCAAAGGGUCAAUUAAUGGGAACAGAAACAAAUCAGUGAUCCUUCAGUCCCAUUAGAAAUGAUGUCAAUUGGAAUGAGUCUUUGACCACUUAAUCUGUAAACUGCAACUGGCUUCUAAACCCCCCUCUUUUCUCAAGGACGUCCCCGAGUUGGUCGAACUACUCAGAGCAAAGAUUUAGUUAAGGCAGUGUUAAAAUAAAAGCACAAGCUGGAGAUCUGCUUCCAGCUCAUCAUAUGCACCUGGGAAUCUCAGAACAUAUUUGGCUUCAUCAGACUACCCAGCCAAUUAGUUGUUAAGUGACAGCGGUCGUGCAUUAGAAAAGGGAGUUGAAUGGCAGUGAACUGCGAGAGCUGGAAACCCACAGUAUCUGAAGAUAGAUGAAGUCCUGUCACUGCCACUAUUACUUGUCACAGGUGACUAAAAGGCAGUGGAGUUCAGCUUGCCAGGAUGAUGACUUUAUUAAAGUUUUUUCACCUUUAUUUCAAAUUCUUUUAGACAAGUCUAGGAAUUUUGCCUCUUAAGACACGGAGGGGUUACCUUCAGUUUGGGAAAAGGAUGUAAAACAUUCAAAAAUAAAUACACAGAUAAGUAAAGAAGUAUUUCUGUGCAUAUGCGACUAUAUUCAUGCCUGAGCUAAAACUGUACGAGUUGGAAAUUGUUUAAUUCAUAUCAAGUAAGGAUAAGUAUAUAGCUAAAUAACUUUGGACCUGAGUAAAGGGAGAAGCUUCCAAAAAACCCAAUACGUCUGCAUGUUUUACCAAAAACCUUAUGAAAUCUACUUUUUUAUUAUUAUAUUUAGUGAAAGUCUUGAAUAUGUGCAGUGUCAUGAUCCAACAGAUGCUAGUUACUGCCUGCAGUUUCACAAUCCAUUCACCAUAAAACACGCCUUUUAUAACAGAAAAAAUUCACUGAAUUACUUAAUCAAUACCACUUGGUGUCAGAUUAUAUGUAACAGAAAUAAUCUCUUGUUUAAGGAUUUCUCUCCAAAUAGCAACUCAGUGAGAACAGGGGCUCCUUAGCAUCUCAGCGCUCAUUCAUGUCCACUUGGAAUACUAGAUGCACGGUUGAGAAAUCUGCAAGAAAUUAAGGAAGUUUGGAUUUGCCUAGUAAUACUUUGACUUGGUAGCAUAACUGCUACCAAGACUUGAAAUAAUAAAUCUGUGAUGGAAGCUGUGUAGGGCACACCUGGCAUGACGGAUGGUGAUAGUCAUACUUUUGUUGUCAGCUGCGGGCACCACGCGUUAUGCCAAAUGCUUUCCCCAUUCCCAAGGCAUCCAAGGAACCCAGCUGGAAAAUAAGUCUGACUUCUCAGUGAUCUUACUCUGUUCCCACUAUUUCAGUCUUAAUGCAUAAAACUUUCUCCUGGGCUGGACUUUCACUAAGUAAUUAUUAAUUGACCUUCUGUGUCUAUGUAAAAUGAAGCAGAAUACUCCUUCUGCUCACUCAUCCUGUAGCUAAGGAACAACAAAAGGUGUUUGGCAACUUUGGUGCCAACCUUUGGUGGCCCUUCUUAACCUGUCCAGGAAGCUCCCAGGGCUUUAUCUUCUUCAUAACUGACAUGUUUGACUUCCCAGUGCUUUACAAAUGAUUCUUGUCUUCAGCAAAUAAGUUUAACUUCGAACAUACAUGUAUUCAAUAUAUAUUGUUAUCAAGCUGAUUAAAGACCUUUACUCAACACAGCACGUAUAAUUCUGAGUUAAUAAUGCC